ensembl:snoRNA Gm26343 small nucleolar RNA SNORA17
AUGGCGCUAUGAAGGCACUGCAGGUGUAGCUGCCGUGUCACAUGUGCGUCAGUCAGUGGCAGAAAGAAGAGAGGUUAUGUCUACUCUCAGUGUUCUGAUCUGUGAAUCUGAAUAAUUAGUAGCCUAACACU